AAAAGUCACAAACUUUACAACCACCCAUCCUCAUCUGUUGCACUUCAUUUUUCCAAAUUUCAAAUUUCAAAACACAUCAAUCCACUCCCUACAAAGAGACCCAUGCUCAUCAAACUCUCCAACCACUGCCUAUUUGUGAUUAACCCACCACUAAGCUCCGAUUAUGGUCUCCAUUCAUAAGAUUCGGGGUUUUUCUUCCAACUCUCUCUAGGGUUUUCACACCAAUCUCCACCUAAAAAUUAGGGUUCCAGUGGUGGUGCUUUCAGGGGUUUUUCUUCCAACUCUCUCUAGGGUUUUCACCCCAAUCUCCACCUAAAAAUUACGGUUCCAGUGGUGGUGCUUUCAAUUCAAUCCGAUCCGAUCCAAUCCGAUCUUCCCUUCUCUUCGGAUGAGAAAUCUCGAAUAACUCACAUUCGAGAUCGCUCACUCUCUAUCUCCAAUUUCGAGUUUUCCAGCAAAAAUCGACGGCCACGAUGGUCCAGCCUCUCUCUCCACUCCUCUGCUUCCUCGGGGUGCUAUGGAUUCUGGCGCAACGCUACUCUGGCGGUCCAUUCAGCUCUGUUUGUGCUCUACUUGGCUUUUCACGACAUCUCCACUCACCGACUACGAACAACCGACCACCUCUCCUCACCUCUUGCUGUCAUCACUCCUCUUGACCACCAACCACCGACUCUCUUCUCUCGCACUCCUGUUUCACCUCUCUCCUCUUACGACGACAUUGCAACCAUUUAGAGAUUGAAUCUUGGGGUCCAAAAUGAGCACCCAGAAGUCGGCUGUGACAAUUCGGGACCUGGCUGAGGAAGCCAAGAAGCGGAUUGUUUAUCUGAUCAUAUAUGCGUGGUUGGGUUGUCUUAUCUCAUGUCUUGUAAGUUUUGGGUUUUUUUUGUUUCAUUGAAUUUUGUUGCAGAUUCAUCACACUUUUUAUUGAUUAAUGGUGAAGAUUCAUCUUUUUUAAUUGGUUCA